rnacentral:rRNA from 1 species
AACGAACGCUGGCGGCAGGCCUAACACAUGCAAGUCGAACGCCGUAGCAAUACGGAGUGGCAGACGGGUGAGUAACGCGUGGGAACAUACCCUCCGGUUCGGAAUAACUCAGGGAAACUUGAGCUAAUACCGGAUACGUCCAAGGUUUUAAUCGGCCUCGGAGAAAGAUUUAUCGCUGGAGGAUUGGCCCGCGUCUGAUUAGCUUGUUGGUGAGGUAAUGGCUCACCAAGGCGACGAUCAGUAGCUGGUCUGAGAGGAUGAUCAGCCACAUUGGGACUGAGACACGGCCCAAACUCCUACGGGAGGCAGCAGUGGGGAAUAUUGGACAAUGGGCGAAAGCCUGAUCCAGCCAUGCCGCGUGAGUGAUGAAGGCCUUAGGGUUGUAAAGCUCUUUU